rnacentral:rRNA from 1 species
GGGGAAUAUUGCACAAUGGGCGCAAGCCUGAUGUAGCAACGCCGCGUGAGGGACGACGGCCUUCGGGUUGUAAACCUCUUUUGGCAGGGAAGAAGCGAAAGUGACGGUACCUGCAGAAAAAGCACCGGCUAACUACGUGCCAGCAGCCGCGGUGAUACGUAGGGUGCUAGCGUUGUCCGGAAUAAUUGGGCGUAAAGAGCUCGUAGGCGGUUUGUCGCGUCUGCUGUGAAAACCCGAGGCUCAACCUCGGGCCUGCAGUGGGUACGGGCAAACUAGAGUGCGGUAGGGGAGAUUGGAAUUCCUGGUGUAGCGGUGGAAUGCGCAGAUAUCAGGAGGAACGCCGAUGGCGAUGGCAGAUCUCGGGGCCGUAACGGACGCGGAGGAGCGAAAGCAUGGGGAGCGAA